ensembl:lncRNA
GGAGGAUCAGAUGUUCAGACGUGGAGCAGAGAACUCAGAGGAGAACAACAGCACAUCUGGCCCAAUGCUUUCACUGUGAAUCACCUGCUGUUUAUCAACCAUGUUCAGCCUGCUGACUCUGGACUGUAUUACUGUGAUGGGAAACCAGCUGUCUAUCUGCACGUGACCACAGAUGAGCGCUCUGACAGAGGAGAGAAAAACAUACCCCCACCACCACCCCAACAAACAACAGCACCACCUGCAGGAGAAAACUCAAGUAUGACAACAAUAAAAAUACUGCCAGCUGCCAGUGCUACCCCUCAGACUUCCAGCAGACCCACCCGUGGUUUGAUCCAUGAAGCUGUGGAAGUGGCCGAGAACCUCAUCAUCACUUGUCCUCUCAGUGUGGAGGGUAAAGUGACGUGGAGCAGAGAGAUACAUAGAAGGAAAGUUGACUUACUUACAUCUUAUGGUGACGCAGAAAUACGACACAUCCGUGAUGCGGACAGGUACAGUUCAUUUGCAGAUGGGUUCCUGCUAAUUGUUGGCACUUCUGUGUCAGACUCUGGAACAUACCUGUGUAAUAAUCAAGCAGCUGUGGAGCUGACAGUCAUCCCAUCAGGUGACAUGAAUCUUUAUCAAGCUUUUCAAAAAUCAAAUCAAAUGUUUAAAUCGAAGCUACACAGAAACAAAACUCAUCAGUUAAAAAUGUACAAAUGAACUGUUAUUCUCAGGAACAACAAGACGCAUCAUUUCAGAGAAGACGACGAGCACUCUGCACUGUCCUCAUGAUGCGGAAGAGUCGCAUGUCCCAGUAUGGAGCAGAAAACUCAGAGGACAGCAGCGACACAUCAGCCCUCACUCUUUCACUGUGGACCAGAUGUUGAUCAUUACAGAUGUUCAGCUUGGUGAUUCGGGACUGUACUACUGUGAUGGGAAACCUGCUGUUUAUCUGGAUGUGAUCAAAGAUGAGAGAUCUGAGAGAGGUAUCUUCUAUGAAGUAGCUGAGGUGAUGCAGAAGGUCGUUUUGACUUGUCCUCACAUCGUGGAGGGUAAAAUAACGUGGAGCAAAGAGAGGUAUGGAAUGGAAGUUGAUAUAUUCACAACCAGCAACGACAGAAGUGUAACAGACUUUAAUGAGCAUGAAGGCUACAACUCAUGGGUGGGGUCGCUGCUCAUUCGUAACACUUCCACCUCGGUAUCUGGAAGAUACUUCUGUGACAGGAAACCAGCCGUGGAACUGAUAGUCCCCCCAUCAGGAACAAGGAUACGUGUUGUGUCAGAGUGGACCAACACUGUUCUUACUUGUCCACAUGUUGAUGGAGGAUCAGAUGUUCAGACGUGGAGCAGAGAACUCAGAGGAGAACAACAGCACAUCUGGCCCAAUGCUUUCACUGUGAAUCACCUGCUGUUUAUCAACCAUGUUCAGCCUGCUGACUCUGGACUGUAUUACUGUGAUGGGAAACCAGCUGUCUAUCUGCACGUGACCACAGAGGAGCGCUCUGACAGAGGAGAGAAAAACAUACCCCCACCACCACCCCAACGAACAACAGCACCACCUGCAGGAGAAAACUCAAGUAUGACAACAAUAAAAAUACUGCCAGCUGCCAGUGCUACCCCUCAGACUUCCAGCAGACCCACCCGUGCUGCUGAUCACCUGUGGCACAUGACUGUCCGUACACUGAUUGGACUGCUCUGCUUAACCAUCAUGAUCAGCAUCACUGCUGUUACCUGGAGGAAAGCUCGACGGAUAGAGAAACAGAAGAGAGACACAGAAGCAGAAACCGGCCUGUGAUCCUCCAUCAUGCAGAAACAAGAGCCGUACAGACUGAAUUGGGAUCAGUUCAUCGUCAUCCAGUCACACAGCACACAGCCAUCCUGAACCUCAGAGUGACGACAGAUUGUUCAGCAUGUGAUCCAAACUUUCAGUGACCUUUGUCUCUCUCUCUUAUGUGUCGCAGACUAAACUGAGGUUAAACUGGAUAAAAGAAAAGAAAUUCAGUUAAUUGAAACUCAAAAGUAACAUAUUAAAGUACAUGUAAAGUAUUUGCUGCUCUGCCCUCUCAAUAUCCUGCAGCUCAACAGUUUCUGUCCCAUCACAGUCUAAUUUCUUUGUCUUUGCUCUUUCUGUUUCUGGAGCUGUGCUGUAUUUAGUCAACAGGCAUUAAAAACAUGUUAGAAGCUCAGUUUAGUUUUAGAUCUGUUACAUUCACUGCUUUCAAAUAGAGUGAGUCCAUUUUUGAUUUGUGUUGUUUGUGUCGAUGUUGUUUGAG